UGAUGUAAAAAACUAAAACUGAUAAUGAAAUAAUAAUUGGUGAGGGUGGAGGGGAGUGACGUGGCUGUCAAAAGUUUUGGGAUUAUUGUCGUGUUUUUAGGGGUGGAUUUGGAUAAGAGAAGGGGCGUUCUGGGCGGUGAUAUAAGCGUCGGCGUCUCACGGGAAAGAGACGUUUAGGAAUUUUUUUUCAGAAAUAAGGUAAAUAAUACAAGCUUGGUAAUAACAUAAUCGAUUUAUGUAAAUUGAUUUGUAGAAAAACAAACCGUCAACCAAAAAAAGAUAAAUGUUUGGUCAUAUAAACUUAAAUAAAGCAUACAAUAGCUCAUAAAAAGACAAUAGUUUCCUGACAUGAAGAAUAUUAAGAAAAAGUUAAAAGUUUGUGUCUCCCAUGAGAAAAACUAGGACCGGACGCGGUGCGGUGCAACUCGGUUUAAGAUCAAAACCAUAGCGCAAACCGUAUUUUCGGUGAUUGAAUUUUGCCGACUGCAACUGCUUUUUAAUAAACAAGGACUGCAUUUUCGGUUGGACUGCACUUUCGGUGCAAUCCGGUGCGGUUGGUUAAUUACCCAAAACAACGAGCUGCCGAAGAUGAAAAUGAAAACGUGAAGAGAAAAGAAUAGAAAAUUAAAAGAGAAGAAGAAGAAAUGAGCAAAGAGAAAUGCAACUAAGAGAGUUGCGAGAAUGGUGAUGGUGGAAUGAGAGUGAGGGGGUCUGCCCCUCUUUGAGAGUUGUGAGAGAGUGAGAGUGCUUCGAUCGAUGGUUCGAGAGGGUGAGAGAGCUUCUAUGGUUUGAGACUUCGAGUCCCUAAAGAUGAGAGGAUAUGUUUGCUUUGGGGCUAGGGUUAGAUAGUUAGUGGGUUUCUUACGUUUCUAUAUAUGUACUUACAUGUAUAGAAUAAGGGUCCGGUUCAAGAGACACAAAAUUAUACACUAAUUUUUACACCAUUUGUGAGCCCUCAGAUUUUAUGACAUUCAAUGGUUUAGAUUAAGUGUAAAAAUGAUAUGACAUUAGAUUUAUUUGCCUAAAAAAAAAGUAAAUUAACUUUUUUUUUCCUUAAUAAAGAGUAAAAUAUGAAAGUACAUAAUACUGGGAAUAAGAAAAAUAGAUGAAUCCGAACUCAUGAACAUGAUCUAAGAAACAGAAAGAAAAGAAAAGAAUCAUGGUGUUCAUCUUCAUGUUAUAAAAUCAACUCAUUCUCUCGGGUUAUUAAAUUCUUUAUUGAAAUCCUUUAAGAUCUUGUAUAUUUUUGGAGCCCUGUUAAGUAUGAUCAUUGUCAUGUUUUCUUCCACUAUGAUUGAACAUAUCUUCUUCAAUUGUGAUUGAAUCACUGAUUCAAUUAAUCCUCAUAUAUAUAUCACUGAUUCAUGACUUCUAU
rnacentral:lncRNA from 1 species